rnacentral:lncRNA from 1 species
UCCGGCGAGGUGGCAGGUGGAUCCAAAGCGCGGCGGCUCGAUCUGCAUCGCCAGCAGCUCCGGUACGCCGCUCCCCCUUCUUGACCCACCCCCUCUCCUCCUCUUCUAAUUUAACUUGAUCCGCCCCUCUCCUCCUCUUUUUCUCCCUUUAAUUUCCUGCCUGAUCUGGUUUCCUCUUCCCUGAUGAGCUGCAGCGCCAUGAACCGGCCUCACAGCCACGGCCAGGAGCGACGAUUGCUCCCCAACUCUGCGGCAUGGUGUGCGCUGACCGUUCGUCCCCAAGUCCCCAACGCUGCCACCGGCCGGAGACACGACGGUUCUCUCGUCCGGCUCAAAGCACGCGCCGUUGUGGCCCGCCUCCCGCUGCAGCAGCUGGCAAAGAAAGCGGAACGCCCCUGCGCCGGCGACAUCGGCAUCUCCAUCGACCGUCUCAGCAACUGCUACCUUGACAGGUGAUGGUAAGCCUGAGCUAGCUGGGUUAUCUGAUUCAACAUGCAUGGUCAAUAUUUAUUUAAAUGGUUGACCCAUGAAUAUGUACAUACAAUCAGACGUACAUACCAUGCAUGUUAAGAUGAAACAUAAAACAAUCUUACUUGAUAUACUAGGGGGACGCAGAUCAAUUUUCCUCUGAUGAUCAUCUCGUGUGGGUUCGUUUAUCUGCCCCAGCUUGUGUUCUGAUCCGGUAUUGUUGCAUUGUACCACCAGUUCCUUUCAUGUAUUUUUCUUAGUCUGAUAAGACGUAUGCAUCCCGUCGCUUAAAGCAUCACAACCUAAAAUUAACAGAUCAACAAACGUGCCAUACGCUAUACACCAACAUGAACACCCGUAUGCAUAAAUUAUGUCAUAUGAAAAUGCGGAUUGGUCUGUACCAUAUGAAUCUUCCGGUACAUAAUCCAGUGUUACAUUACUCGGAGCCGACAAGGGAGCAUCAUGAUGGUCUCCUGCCCGUAGCAAUCUUGAUCCAUCUGUAAAGUUGUAACCAAUAGGAAUACAACACCAAUGAAAAACCGUUGAGCAAGUAUGGAGGUAACAUUCUCAGCAUGAUUCACACAGCCUUAUACUUGGAUGCGUUGUGUAACUGUCGUCAACAUUUUCAGCUACGGGUGUGAUGCUUGCAUAACAUUCUUCAACAUUUGUCGCACCGUCAGUAAUGGACAACUCGCAUGCGCCGAAAUUUCAGAUAGUGUGAAUUAUACAUGUAGGUAAGUCCUCGUCUGGUUGAUGUUCGCUUGCCUUGCUUUUUGAAUUCCCCAUAAGCACAUAUGUAACGGCAGCUCCCUGUGAAGAAGAUAACAUUGCUUGAUGUGAAUGGUUAUCAUAUAUUAAUUGCCUUACUUCAAGUUUUACCUUGUGCAAAAAGAUUUAGCAGCAUGUUCUUUAUAGUUCUUUGUUUUUCAUUUAUACAAAUCACCUCAGGUUAUGUUUAUUCAGGUUAUCUUUGCAAAUCACUUAGAUCACAUUGAUACAACAUCUAGGAAAUCAAUAUUGCAAACUUUGCACAUUAAGGAGUAAUCUAUAGUCAGGUUACUAUAACAAAUACUUCACAUACUAUAUGUUUUCCAAUAAAUCUGCUUGAGCUAAUUUGCUGUUUGGUUUUGUAUAUUGUGCUUGAAAUGCUUGCUUGCAGUUUUGAUCUGGCACUGAUCUUAUUAUCAGGGCCUUCAUGAUUUCCUUCUUGGAAUUGCUUGCUUCUAAUUUCUUUGAAAGAUACCAUGAUGCAAUUUUGUUUUUCUAUCUUGUGUAUUCUGCUGCUGAUUCCUGCUGAUUCUUUCUUGCAGUAUGGGUUAUUGUGUGACCGGUUACAGUGUGAUAACAAAUUUUGUAUUUGUGAUUUGUCCCCUCCCCAAGGAAGCUUCUAUAUAAAAGAUCUCAAAAUGCAGGAGCCUAAGAAAAUGCUACAUAAAAGAUGUCAACUUCUAUAUCAGCUAUCUAAAAGAUAUCACCUGUGCCUGAAAUUAUUAUCAGCUUCUUCAUCAAGUAUCAAUUAAUUGCAGCUGGGCUUAACCAUUGUUUUUUAUUUUCUUUGUCGACAGAGAGGCAAGUUCGAGAUUCAAUUGGAUGGACCUUCAUGUUGUUUAUUGAGUUUCUCAUCAGCCAUGGUCUUUCUUAAGUGAUUAUAAUGUCGAAGUAGUACAUUGCAAACAUGUGUAUAAACUGUAUAAUAACAAAACGCGAACCUGGACGCGUUUGGUUGCUGAUCCUGGAAGCGGUCGGCAGCGGGUCCUGUAGGCGGUACACGGCGGAACCUUGAAGUGAUCGGCGGCUGAAUGUGCUAGCGGUUCGCGUUUGAUUAGCACACCCGCCCUACGCGCGCCAUGUUCCACCUAACUAUUUUUUGAGGGGUUACCCUAUUU